rnacentral:rRNA from 1 species
AUACAGAGGGUGCGAGCGUUAAUCGGAAUUACUGGGCGUAAAGCGCGCGUAGGCGGUUUGGUCAGUCGGAUGCGAAAGCCCCGGGCUUAACCUGGGAAUUGCAUUCGAUACUGCCAGACUGGAAUGUCGUAGAGGGAAGUGGAAUUCAGGGUGUAGCGGUGAAAUGCGUAGAGAUCCUGAGGAACAUCAGUGGCGAAGGCGACUUCCUGGACUAACAUUGACGCUGAGGUGCGAAAGCGUGGGGAGCAAACAGGAUUAGAUACCCCGGUAGUCC